rnacentral:rRNA from 1 species
AGAGUUUGAUCCUGGCUCAGAUUGAACGCUGGCGGUAUGCUUAACACAUGCAAGUCGAACGGCAGCAUAAGAGAGCUUGCUCUCUUGAUGGCGAGUGGCGGACGGGUGAGUACAACAUAGGAAUCUAUCCAUGUAGCUGGGGAUAACUCGGAGAAAUCCGAGCUAAUACCGAAUACGCUCUACGGAGGAAAGAGGGGGACUCUUCGGAACCUCUCACUAUCGGGUGAGCCUAUGCCGGAUUAGCUUGUUGGUGGGGUAAUGGCCUACCAAGGCAACGAUCCGUAGCUGGUCUGAGAGGACGGUCAGCCACACUGGGACUGAGACACGGCCCAGACUCCUACGGGAGGCAGCAGUGGGGAAUAUUGGACAAUGGGGGCAACCCUGAUCCAGCAAUACCGCGUGUGUGAAGAAGGCCUGCGGGUUGUAAAGCACUUUCAGUAGGGAAGAAAAGUUAAUGGUUAAUACCCAUUGACCCUGACGUUACCUACAGAAGAAGCACCGGCUAACUCCGUGCCAGCAGCCGCGGUAAUA